ACCCUGUAAGUGGGGUAUAUCUUUCGACAUGAGAAAACAACCCCAAGAAAGUAGUAUAUUUGUCAAUAUGAGAAAACAACCCCGUAAGAGGGUUAUAUUUAUCAAUAUUACAAAACAACCCCGUAAGAGGGGUAUAUCUUCCGACAUGAGAAAACAACACCAAAAAGGUGGUAUAUUUGUCAAUAUGAGAACAACCCCGUAAGAGGGGGAUAUUUGUC
rnacentral:lncRNA from 1 species